rnacentral:lncRNA from 1 species
UAGGCGUGGCACAUGAUCAUGCAACUCAACUAUAUAUCUUUAUUUUUGUGUGUGUGUCUCCACAAAGCCACCGUUUUUUACGGGAUGUUGCUUUGCUCAUGUUGCGAACUCGAUCUCUUUCUUUCUUUCUUUCUUUCUUUCUUCUUUUGUCUUUCUUUAUCUAAUUGACUUUUAACCUUUCGGAUCGGCCCUUUAUUUAAUACAUUUCUAUCAUCAUAGUUAAAUUGCUAAUCUAGGAAAUUCCAGUUUCCAUAGAUGUUCUUGCUCCGAGUCUCAAAUUUGCUUUCCUAGCUAUUAUAAUAUGAAAUUUCAUAUGGUUAAUGUAGCAAACAAAGACUCAUUUUCUGAUUAGUUAAGAGUUCAACUUCCAACAAACCAUAACAAAAAAACAAAAGUAACAAAUGACAAGAAAAGAAAAAAACAAAGAAAGACUCUAAGCUAAUCAAUUAUAUGAUUUGAUAGUUUUCGUAUUUUCGCCUGUAUAGCAAAAAAAAAAAAAAAACAGAAACUUAGAGGGGGAACACUUUGUCUGUCUUUCUUGUACUCCGUAAAAUACUUAUCCGAAACAGUAUUUGAAUGUUUCCUUCAAUCUCCAAAGGAUCUGGAUUAACCUUUAGGUUUUUUUUUUUUUUUAACAUUGAGUUAACUGAUAUCGUGACUUUACUAACUUUGAUAUAAGCAUGCGAAUACUGUUGAGAUAGGUGAUUUGAGGUUUCGAUAUGUCUUCUAUACUUUUGUAAUUGUAAAACACCUUCUAUGAAAAAUUGACAAUACAACAGUAACAGUACU